GACGUAGGGGGCCAGCGUUGUUCGGAAUUACUGGGUGUAAAGGGUUCGUAGGCGGUGCGGCAAGUCGGGAGUGAAAUCUCUGGGCUUAACCCAGAGGCUGCUUCCGAAACUGCUGUGCUUGAGUGUGGGAGAGGCGCGUGGAAUUGCAGGUGUAGCGGUGAAAUGCGUAGAUAUCUGGAGGAACACCGGUGGCGAAGGCGGCAUUCUGGACCGAUAUUGACGCUGAGGAGCGAAAGCCAGGGGAGCAAACGGG
rnacentral:rRNA from 1 species